CCAUAAUUUUGGUGAUUCACAUUAAAUGGCUUUUACUGAUUUUCUAGAUUCCAGUUAAAAGAUUUAUCUGAAAUGGCAAACUGUAGGAGGAAGCGUGACAUCUAAGUGCCCAUAUCUUCACUGGAGUGUGUCAGGCUGUGGAGCAACUGUGACCAUCUGUGUUUGAGAGGAGUGGGCUCUGUACAGAGAGGACUUCUGCAUGGGAGCCACAUCUGCCUGACUGGUGGUGGGGGAUCUGUCUCAGGAGGAGGGGCUUCCAGUACGUGUGCCUGCUUGUGCCCAAGGGACAUGUGGAGGACACCUACUAACACCACUCCAAUACCUCCGUGCGGCCCAUGAAAGCAUGUGCUUCUCAUGUCGGGAGCUAAUCCGGUAGAGACCGAAGAGGGAGUGUGUCGAAUGCCCUGCCUGCCCACGGUCUUCUGGAAACCAGGUGAACUAUUAAGGUAAAUAUGGAAGAACUUCAAUAUUGUCUGCAGCUGUGAGUGAAAAGAAACGUCCGGUUUUCUGUUAUUUACCUCAGGCAUGUUUGGUCAUCAUGAUAGAGACUUGACACACACACACUCUCCCUUCCCUUGCAUUU